rnacentral:rRNA from 1 species
AUUGAACGCUGGCGGCAGGCCUAACACAUGCAAGUCGAGCGGAUGACGGGAGCUUGCUCCUUGAUUCAGCGGCGGACGGGUGAGUAAUGCCUAGGAAUCUGCCUGGUAGUGGGGGACGACGUUUCGAAAGGAACGCUAAUACCGCAUACGUCCUACGGGAGAAAGCAGGGGACCUUCGGGCCUUGUGCUAUCAGAUGAGCCUAGGUCGGAUUAGCUAGUUGGUGGGGUAAUGGCUCACCAAGGCGACGAUCCGUAACUUGUCUGAGAGGAUGAUCAGUCACACUGGAACUGAGACACGGUCCAGACUCCUACGGGAGGCAGCAGUGGGGAAUAUUGGACAAUGGGCGAAAGCCUGAUCCAGCCAUGCCGCGUGUGUGAAGAAGGUCUUCGGAUUGUAAAGCACUUUAAGUUGGGAGGAAGGGCAGUAAGUUAAUACCUUGCUGUUUUGACGUUACCGACAGAAUAAGCACCGGCUAACUCUGUGCCAGCAGCCGCAGUAA